rnacentral:rRNA from 1 species
CCCUUAGAUGUUCUGGGCUGCACGCGUGCUACACUGAUUACUUCAACAAGUGUUUUAACUGGAGAGUUUGCGUAAUCCUGAAAUGUUAUCGUGAUGGGAGUAGAGUAUUGUAUUUGUUAAUCUUUAACGAGGAAUUCCUAGUAAGUGUAGGUUUAUAAGUUGUUCUGAUUACGUCCCUGCCCUUUGUACACACCGCCCGUCGCUCCUACCGAUUGAUUGAUCCGGUGAAUUACAUAGAAUUUUGCGUUCUACAUGACGGAAGAUGAAGUGUUUUAAACCUUAUCAUUUAGAGGAAGGAGAAGUCGUAACA